UCCAGUGUGGCAUAGUGGUUUGAGUGUUGGACUACAACUCUGGAGACCAGGGUUUGAAUCCUGGUUUGGUC
rnacentral:tRNA from 1 species